AACGAACGCUGGCGGCAGGCUUAACACAUGCAAGUCGAGCGCCCCGCAAGGGGAGCGGCAGGCGGGUGAGUAACGCGUGGGAAUCUACCCAUCUCUACGGAAUAACGCAGAGAAACGUGUGCUAAGACCGUAUACGUCCCUCGGGAGAAAGAUUUAUCGGAGAUGGAUGAGCCCGCGUGGGAUUAGCUAGUUGGUGGGGUAAAGGCCUACCAAGGCGACGAUCCAUAGCUGGUCUGAGAGGAUGAUCAGCCACACUGGGACUGAGACACGGCCCAGACUCCUACGGGAGGCAGCAGUGGGGAAUAUUGGACAAUGGGCGCAAGCCUGAUCCAGCCAUGCCGCGUGAGUGAUGAAGGCCCUAGGGUUGUAAAGCUCUUUCACCGGUGAAGAUAAUGACGGUAACCGGAGAAGAAGCCCCGGCUAACUUCGUGCCAGCCGCCGCCGUAAUAC
rnacentral:rRNA from 1 species